rnacentral:rRNA from 1 species
GAUGAACGCUGGCGGCGUGCCUAAUACAUGCAAGUCGAGCGAACAGACGCGGCGCUUGCUCCUCUGACGUUUGCGGCGGACGGGUGAGUAACACGUGGAUAACCUACCUAUCAGACUGGGAUAACUUCGGGAAACCGGAGCUAAUACCGGAUAAUAUCUUGCACCGCAUGGUUCAAUAGUGAAAGACGGUUUUGCUGUCACUUAUAGAUGGAUCCGCGCCGCAUUAGCUAGUUGUUAAGGUAACGGCUUACCAAGGCUACGAUGCGUAGCCGACCUGAGAGGGUGGUAGCCCACACGGGAACUGGGACACGGUCCAGACUCCUACGGGAGGCAGCAGUAGGGAAUGGUCCGCAAUGGGCGAAAGCCUGACGGAGCGACGGCGCGUGAGUGAUGAAGGUCUUCGGAUCGUAAAACUCUGUUAUUAGGGAAGAACAAAUGUGGAAGGAACUGUGCACGUCGUGACGGUACCUAAUCAGAAAGCCACGGCUAACUACGUG